rnacentral:tRNA from 1 species
UCCCUAUAGUUGAAGCCAUUCCACAGGAGCUUUUCACGCUUCCGGUUUGGGUUAAACUCCCGAUAGGGAU